CGGGGCCCGCAAGGGCAACCGGCGAACGGGUGCGUAACACGUGAGCAACCUGCCCCAAACCGGGGGAUAGCCUGGCGAAAGCCGGGGUAAACCCGCAUGGUUCUCUGGGAUCACCUGGUCCUUGAGGUAAACAUUUAUGGGUUUGGGAGGGGCUUGCGUCUGAUUAGGUAGUUGGUGGGGUAGUGGCCCACCAAGCCGAUGAUCAGUAGGGGUUCUGAGAGGAUUGGCCCCCACAUGGGUACUGAGAUACGGACCCA
rnacentral:rRNA from 1 species